UACGAAGGGGGCUAGCGUUGUUCGGAUUUACUGGGCGUAAAGCGCACGUAGGCGGAUCUUUAAGUCAGAGGUGAAAUCCCGGAGCUCAACUUCGGAACUGCCUUUGAUACUGGGGAUCUCGAGUUCGGGAGAGGUGAGUGGAUCUGCGAGUGUAGAGGUGAAAUUCGUAGAUAUUCGCAAGAACACCAGUGGCGAAGGCGGCUCACUGGCCCGAUACUGACGCUGAGGUGCGAAAGCGUGGGGAGCAAACAGG
rnacentral:rRNA from 1 species